UGACAACAUCUCUCAAACAAACUUCUGUUGUUGUUUUUGUUUUGUUUUCUUUUUUGUUUCUUUCUUUUUGUGGUUCUUCU
rnacentral:ribozyme from 13 species